rnacentral:rRNA from 1 species
GAGUUUGAUUCUGGCUCAGGAUGAACGCUGGCGGCGUGCUUAACACAUGCAAGUCGAACGGGCGAAUUAUAUCGGAGGUCUUCGGGCCAAAGAGAUAAUAAGCUAGUGGCGGACGGGUGCGUAACGUGUGGGUAAUCUGCCUUUGUCAUAGGAAUAACUGCUUGAAAAAGUAGCUAAUACCAAAUAACAUAUCGUAUAGGCAUCUAUAAGAUAUCAAAGAGAAAUCGGACAAAGAUGAGCCCGCAUCUGAUUAGCUGGUUGGUAGGGUAAAAGCCUACCAAGGCGACGAUCAGUAGCCGGCCUGAGAGGGUGAACGGCCACAUUGGAACUGAGACACGGUCCAAACUCCUACGGGAGGCAGCAGUGGGGAAUAUUGCACAAUGGGGGGAACCCUGAUGCAGCAACGCCGCGUGAGUGAAGAAGGCUUUCGAGUCGUAAAAACUCUGUUGUAAUGGGAAAGAUAAUGUCGGU